UCCGUAGGUGAACCUGCGGAAGGAUCAUUACUGAGUGAGGGCCCUCUGGGUCCAACCUCCCACCCGUGUUUAUUUACCUUGUUGCUUCGGCGGGCCCGCCUUAACUGGCCGCCGGGGGGCUUACGCCCCCGGGCCCGCGCCCGCCGAAGACACCCUCGAACUCUGUCUGAAGAUUGUAGUCUGAGUGAAAAUAUAAAUUAUUUAAAACUUUCAACAACGGAUCUCUUGGUUCCGGCAUCGAUGAAGAACGCAGCGAAAUGCGAUACGUAAUGUGAAUUGCAAAUUCAGUGAAUCAUCGAGUCUUUGAACGCACAUUGCGCCCCCUGGUAUUCCGGGGGGCAUGCCUGUCCGAGCGUCAUUGCUGCCCUCAAGCACGGCUUGUGUGUUGGGCCCCGUCCUCCGAUUCCGGGGGACGGGCCCGAAAGGCAGCGGCGGCACCGCGUCCGGUCCUCGAGCGUAUGGGGCUUUGUCACCCGCUCUGUAGGCCCGGCCGGCGCUUGCCGAUCAACCCAAAUUUUUAUCCAGGUUGACCUCGGAUCAGGUAGGGAUACCCGCUGAACUUAAGCAUAUCAAUAAGCGGAGGAA
rnacentral:rRNA from 1 species